GGUAUACGAACUUCGACUUGCCGAAGUUAACUUCCUUUCUUGUUUGCUAUGGCUUUCUAUGGGUUGUUAAAACACAUUUUCAUUUCUAGUAAAAAGCCGUGGGCGACACUCGUUUUUUCCUGUGCACACACGCACACCUGUGCACUUGUGUGCGCGUGUGUUUUGAGUGACAUGUGUCAAAACUGAAAAACUACGCGAAUUUGUGUCAAACCCUUGUCAGCGCGUUUCAAGUGCAAUAACACUUUGCCCCAACAAGACACACAUCCCUCACGGGGCCGGACCACCCCCACCGCCUGCCGCCAGCCCUGCGAGCCGUCAUGAAGACAAAGAUAAAUACCGGACAGGUGCAAAGCGUGAAGUGGAGUGCUUGGAGUGUGCAAAAGUUGGGAUUUCCGGAGGGGCUGCGGAAAUGGCUGAUACACAUCACUUGGGAGGCCGCAGGGCAGCACGACACAGUUUGCAGGCUUGUUGCUGCACCACUACGGUAUUUUAUUUCGCUGGGUGCAGGAUGAGGCGUUGUUAAUUAAAAUAUAGAAAUGAAUGAACAACAGGAA